rnacentral:rRNA from 1 species
AUUGAACGCUGGCGGCAGGCCUAACACAUGCAAGUCGAACGAGCGGCGGACGGGUGAGUAAUGUCUGGGAAACUGCCUGAUGGAGGGGUAUAACUACUGGAAACGGUAGCUAAUACCGCAUACCAUCAGAUGUGCCCAGAUGGGUUUAGCUAGUUGGUGGGGUAACGGCUCACCAAGGCGACGAUCCCUAGCUGGUCUGAGAGGAUGACCGGCCACACUGGAACUGAGACACGGUCCAGACUCCUACGGGAGGCAGCAGUGGGGAAUAUUGCACAAUGGGCGCAAGCCUGAUGCAGCCAUGCCGCGUGUGUGAAGAAGGCCGUCGGGUUGUAAAGCACUUUCAGCGGGGAGGCGUUACUCGCAGAAGAAGCACCGGCUAACUCCGUGCCAGCAGCCGCGGUAAUAC